ensembl:snRNA U6 U6 spliceosomal RNA
GUGCUUGCUUUGGCAGCAUAUACAAAAUAUGAAUGAAAUAGAAAAGAUUACCAUAUCCUCUGUGCAAGAAUGAGAUAAAAAUUUGUGAAGUGUUCCACGAGUUC